ACUCAGAUGCCCUCACUGCAUCUCAAAUGCACUCAGAUGACUGCAGGUCUGGCUGGCAACUCAACUGAAGCCUGAGAGAGAUCCUGAAGCAGCGGGUGCAGCUAAGCCUCUGCUGGAUUCCCAUUAGACAGAAACUCAUCACCAGUUUUCCAUGAGAGCACCAAGCCUGUGAUUUCAGUAGAAGCUUAACUGCUCGUCUUUGAGGCACCAAAUCUGAAAAGCGAUCUUCCUGAAGACCAUGCUAAGGCAAGAACAUCCAUAUAAGGGAGAAUUCCUGAAAGUGUUCUAACACUUCAGUGGAAACUCAUCAAUGCUCUGUACCCAGAAUAAUCCCAUUUCGGAGGGUGCAUGGAUGGGGCAGAUGCAUGAUGUGCCCUGAGGAGCAGAGGAAACAUGGGCUUGGGUUGUGAAGGAUCUCAGAGAAGCUCUCCUGGACUGGCCCAAAUGUCUCAAACUUUAAUGUGCACAUAAAUCUAUUAAAAUGCAGCUUCCACUUCAACACAUCUGGAGUGAGACCAGGUAUUCUGCAUUUUUAACAAACUCUGGUGUAUGCUGGCGGAUGUCUGGAGUGCUGCUGGUCCAUGGACCGCAUGUUGAGUAGCAAGGCCCU
rnacentral:lncRNA from 1 species